rnacentral:rRNA from 1 species
GCAGUCGCCGCGGUAAUACGAAGGGGGCUAGCGUUGUUCGGAUUUACUGGGCGUAAAGCGCACGUAGGCGGACUUUUAAGUCAGGGGUGAAAUCCCGGGGCUCAACCCCGGAACUGCCUUUGAUACUGGAAGUCUUGAGUAUGGUAGAGGUGAGUGGAAUUCCGAGUGUAGAGGUGAAAUUCGUAGAUAUUCGGAGGAACACCAGUGGCGAAGGCGGCUCACUGGACCAUUACUGACGCUGAGGUGCGAAAGCGUGGGGAGCAAACAGGAUUAGAUACCCCGGUAGUCCCUGUCUCUUAUAC